rnacentral:rRNA from 1 species
GACGGAGGAUGCAAGUGUUAUCCGGAAUCACUGGGCGUAAAGCGUCUGUAGGUGGUUUAAAAAGUCUACUGUUAAAAAUUGAAGCUUAACUUCAAAGAUGCCGUAGAAACUUUUAAACUUGAGGAUGGUAGGGGUAGAGGGAAUUUCCAGUGGAGCGGUGAAAUGCGUAGAUCUUGGAAAGACCACCAAUGGCGAAGGCACCCUACUGGGCCAUGACUGACACUAAGAGACGAAAGCUAGGGGAGCAAAUGGG